rnacentral:rRNA from 2 species
UGCAAGUCGAACGAUAAGCCAUCUUCGGAUGGUGGACAGUGGCGCACGGGUGAGUAACACGUGGGGACCUGCCUGAUAGUAAGGGACAACAGUUGGAAACGACUGCUAAUACCUUAUACGCCCUUAGGGGGAAAGAUUUAUCGCUAUCAGAUGGACCCGCGCUAGAUUAGAUAGUUGGUGAGGUAAUGGCUCACCAAGUCUACGAUCUAUAGUUGGUUUGAGAAGAUGACCAGCCACAUUGGGACUGAGACACGGCCCAGACUCC